UCCCCGAUAGCUCAGUCGGUAGAGCGCCGGACUGUUAAUCCGUAGGUCCCUGGUUCGAGCCCAGGUCGGGGA
rnacentral:tRNA from 2 species